UACGGGGGGGGUAAGCGUUGUUCGGAAUUACUGGGCGUAAAGGGCUCGUAGGCGGCCAACUAAGUCAGACGUGAAAUCCCUCGGCUUAACCGGGGAACUGCGUCUGAUACUGGAUGGCUAGAGAUUGGGAGAGGGAUGCGGAAUUCCAGGUGUAGCGGUGAAAUGCGUAGAUAUCAGGAGGAACACCGAUGGCGAAGGCAGCUCGCUGGGACGGUACUGACGCUGAGGCGCGAAAGCGUGGGGAGCAAACAGG
rnacentral:rRNA from 1 species